rnacentral:rRNA from 1 species
GAUGAACGCUGGCGGCGUGCCUAAUACAUGCAAGUCGAGCGAACGGACGAGAAGCUUGCUUCUCUGAUGUUAGCGGCGGACGGGUGAGUAACUCGUGGAUAACCUACCUAUAAGACUGGGAUAACUUCGGGAAACCGGAGCUAAUACCGGAUGAUAUUUUGAACCGCAUGGUUCAAAAGUGAAAGACGGUCUUGCUGUCACUUAUAGAUGGAUCCGCGCUGCAUUAGCUAGUUGGUAAGGUAACGGCUUACCAAGGCAACGAUGCAUAGCCGACCUGAGAGAGUGAUCGGCCACACUGGAACUGAGACACGGUCCAGACUCCUACGGGAGGCAGCAGUAGGGAAUCUUCCGCAAUGGGCGAAAGCCUGACGGAGCAACGCCGCGUGAGUGAUGAAGGUCUUCGGAUCGUAAAACUCUGUUAUUAGGGAAGAACAUAUGUGUAAGUAACUGUGCACAUCUUGACGGUACCUAAUCAGAAAGCCACGGCUAACUACGUG